rnacentral:lncRNA from 1 species
UCUUGUAGACUUGUAGAUAUACUUCCUUGGUGGUCUUGGGUAAGACCCAGGAGAAUUCCCUGGAUUACCAGGAAAACUCUUGUUCUGUUCUCUUACUUUCUCCCAAGAAAACAUAGUCUCUCUCUGUCCAUGCUGAGCUGCCUGGAGCUUGGGGAGGUGUGACAUAGCACCCCUGUAACCACCAACACUGGGACUACAUUGGGCCACAUCUGAAGCCAACAUAGCAGUAGGUUUUGCCUAAGGCCUGCAGUGAGUACGGUCUUGGUACUGUCAAUUUUCACUCAAGGCCCAAGGGCUCUUCAGUUAGGAGGUGCCAAAUUCAGUUUGCCUUAUGUCCUUCCCUUCAGGAUGGCGAGUUCCUGUCCCAUUCCAGGGUUGGUCCAGAAAUGUCAUCUAGGAGCCCAGGUCUAGAGUCAGGAACCUUAGGAAUUCACUUGGUGCUUUACUUUACUGUGGCUGAGCUGGCACCCAAGCUGCAAGACAAACAAACUUCUGGGUAUGAUCUAAAUAUAGAUCAAAUUUAGAUCUAAAUUUAGAUCUAAAAAUUAACAAAUUUGAUCUAUUUUUAUUCCUGUACUGUUUUCACUUUUGUUGAUCUUUGUUCCCAUAUUUAUUUUCCUCCUUCCACUGCUUUUCAGUUUGAGUUGCUCUUAUUCUUCCACCAUUUUUAGAUGAAAACAUGUCAUUAAUUUGAAAACUAUUUUUUUCUAAUGUAAACAUGUAAGUCUAUAAAUUCCCACGUGAGCACUUCUUAAGCUUCAUCCCACAAAUGUUGAUAUGUUGUAUAAGAACUGUACUCAAAGCAAGUGGUCUCAAAUUCUCCACCUAUUAUGUGUUUAUGGCAAUGUCUCCAAAUGAAAUGCAGCCCCCUUCUGGAAGGAGAUCUGUCUUCUUCAUUACCCUUCUCAUCACCUAAGAAUUUAUGGCUGCUUUUAACUCAUCAGAGGACUCAAUGGUCCAAAAGAGGUGUGAGUCAA